AGAGUUUGAUCAUGGCUCAGAACGAACGCUGGGGGNGCCUAACACAUGCAAGUCGAACGGAAUUAAGGGGCUUCCUUAAUUUAGUGGCGCACGGGUGAGUAAUGCGUGGAUAACCUACCCUGGUAUCCGGGAUAACAUCUCGAAAGGGGUGCUAAUACGGGAUAAGCCCACGGGGUCUUCGGACCCUGCGGGAAAAGGUGGCCUCUAUUUAUAAGCUACCGUAUCAGGAUGGGUCCACGUACCAUUAGCUAGUUGGUGGGGUAACGGCCUACCAAGGCGACGAUGGUUAGCUGGUCUGAGAGGAUGAUCAGCCACACUGGAACUGAGACACGGUCCAGACUCCUACGGGAGGCAGCAGUGGGGAAUUUUGCGCAAUGGGGGAAACCCUGACGCAGCAACGCCGCGUGAGUGAUGAAGGCCUUCGGGUCGUAAAGCUCUGUCAGAGGGAAAGAAGUGUAUAGUGGUUAAUACCCAUUAUACUUGACGGUACCCUCAAAGGAAGCACCGGCUAACUCCGUGCCAGCAGCCGCGGUAAUACGGAGGGUGCGAGCGUUGUUCGGAAUUAUUGGGCGUAAAGCGCGUGUAGGCGGCUCCUUAAGUCUGAUGUGAAAGCCCCGGGCUCAACCUGGGAAGUGCAUUGGAAACUGGGGAACUUGAAUACGGGAGAGGGUAGUGGAAUUCCUGGUGUAGGAGUGAAAUCCGUAGAUAUCAGGAGGAACACCGGUGGCGAAGGCGGCUACCUGGACCGAUAUUGACGCUGAGNNNCGAAAGCGUGGGGAGCAAACAGGAUUAGAUACCCUAGUAGUCC
rnacentral:rRNA from 1 species